AAAGGGAGCAAUCCUAAGUAAAGUGGCGCACGGGUGAGUAACACGUGGAUCAUCUACCUUUUAGUGGGGAAUACCUCUGGGAAACCGGAGACAAUACCGCAUAAGCCCGCAAGGGGAAAGCAGCAAUGCGCUGAGAGAGGAGUCCGCGGCCGAUUAGCUAGUUGGCGGGGUAAUGGCCCACCAAGGCGAAGAUCGGUAGCCGGCCUGAGAGGGCACACGGCCACACUGGCACUGAAACACGGGCCAGACUCCUACGGGAGGCAGCAGUGGGGAAUCUUGCACAAUGGACGAAAGUCUGAUGCAGCGACGCCGCGUGAGCGAUGAAGCCCUUCGGGGUGUAAAGCUCUUUCGACGGGAACGAUAAUGACGGUACCCGGAGAAGAAGCUGCGGCUAACUACGUGCCAGCAGCCGCGGUAAUACGUAGGCAGCGAGCGUUGUUCGGAAUUACUGGGCGUAAAGAGUGUGUAGGCGGUGUUCCCAGUCUGUUGUGAAAUCUCCCGGCUUAACUGGGAGGGUGCAGCGGAAACUAGAAUGCUAGAGGGUGGGAGAGGUAAGCGGAAUUCCUGGUGUAGCGGUGAAAUGCGUAGAUAUCAGGAGGAACACCUGUGGUGUAGACAGCUUACUGGACCACUUCUGACGCUGAGACACGAAAGCGUGGGUAGCAAACAGGAUUAGAUACCCUGGUAGUCCACGCCCUAAACGAUGCAUACUUGGUGUGAGCGAUUCAUUUCGUUCGUGCCGGAGCUAACGCGUUAAGUAUGCCGCCUGGGGAGUACGGUCGCAAGGCUGAAACUC
rnacentral:rRNA from 1 species